GUAACAAUCUAUCAGCCUAUGAGUAAAUGAGUUGCUACCACUCUCGCGCACUGUUGUUUUUCUUCCGACGUGGAACCAUAGGUAAAAGAAUUACUAGCAGAUUGUUCACGACCAAUAUUCUUUUUGUAAAUAGGUUAUUGGUUUGUACCAUCCUUCUCUUAGUAAAUAAUUUAUUGCCAACUUUUGGAGAACAUCUGAUGGAGUUAUAAAGACUUAUAGGUUAUAUAUGUUAGCAUAUUUCGGUGGAUAAAUGGUUUGUCAUUGUAACAUGAAUAGCAAUACUGUAUUGAUACAACCGUAUACACAUUUAACACGACUAAAAACAUUACAACAGGGUAUUUUGCGCAUUUCACCAUCGUACAGUAAAAAUAUUAGAAAAAGACAAUCACAAAUAAAAAGACAAUGGGAAAAAAUCUACUGAUAUGAGCCCAGCCCCUUGCACAGGCUAAUUACAUCAUUGCUGUUAGUUCCUUUAACUAACUAGAGGGCAUCGCCACUGGAAAAGCAUCUGAAUCAGACCGCCCACCUACAGUUCAGUUCAUGCAUUUCAGGCCAGAUUAAGGACGGCGAACAAGACAUCAUUCCUGUGGCGCCAUCACCACUGGCAUCCAUCAGGACUCGAUCACUUAACUGUAUACAAUAUAUCCUCCUGUUCCUUUUCCCAGCUUCCUGAACAUAAUACAGUGAAUUCACGAAUCAAAAGAAAAUUCAGAUGGGAGCAAAGAAGGGGGUGCUGAUUGCAUCGUGAAAACAACACUAUAUCAAUAGACCUGAUCAUGCAACCAUGGUUUUGAUCACUGCGAAAACCAUGGGCGUGAAAGAAGUGUAGAAAAGAAAGAAGAACAGGAGAAAGGGAGCAGAACAUAUCGACGCUGGAGGUGAUGCCGGGCGAAUGGAAUCGCUCAUGGUGUUGUUUGUCUAGAACCUGCACACAAGCAACAACACAGCACCAACAAGCGUUAUCAAAAUGAGGAAAAAGGGUUUGAGCAAGGUGACCUUGUCCUCGGUGAACAUGGAACGGGGAAGGAGUAUCUUGAAGGAUUCGGCAUCCACCAAGAACCGACAUGGCGCUGCAUCAAUAAAACGAGAACCUCCCAGGCGGCCAUUAGUUCAGAUGUGAGGAAGGAAGGAGGUGCAAGCUGACCACAUGAUUAAGAUCUAGUCCACCACCAUCGAUACCAAGAACGCCUCGCUGCCUCGACCAUGCCGGAGGCGACGCCUGGAUCCGGCGGCGGGGGAUCACAGGCACGCGAUGAGGUGGUCGCCCCCUGCCGCGCCGCCGCCUAGGCUGCCGCCUCCUGUUCGACGAAGCUGAUGCCGAAGGUGGAUGGCCGGGCGGACGAUGGAGAGGCCUCCUGAUCCAGUUGUUGCCGCUAUCGCUUAGAGAGGAGCUGCAUUGAUGUGCGCUCGAUCCGCCGCCGAGGAUGUAGCCCAAUCAACGUUGCCGUCGAGGUCGAUGCCGCCGCUCGAUCUGUUGAGGCAGACCUCCGCAUCGGCACUGCCGAGGUCCUCGUCACAUCCGGCGACGAGGAGCGGAGGAUGAUGCAACAGGAAGGGGGCAAGGGUGGCGCCUGAUGGUUGGAUGGCGUCCACCGUCCUGUUGCCAACUCACAACUGGACGACGCGCCUCCACACCUCCAACGCCGACAACCAGCCCGGAUCUCGCCCGCCGUUCGCCGAUCCUAAAAAAAAGGGGUGGACAGCGACAGGAGUAGAAGGCGAUGGUGGCGGCGCUUUAUGGACGGGGGAGGUGGCGGCACCAAGGGAGGCACCGAUGUGGACGGGGAGGGUCAUCUCGGCGGCGUCGAAGCCAGCUCUACCUCAAACCCCCGCCGCUGGAUCCAGGCGGAGGACGACCGCCGUCGCCGGAUCCGGGCGAGGGACAGCCCCGCCGAGCCCGUCGCCCACCGUUGGCGCAGGCCAUCGUCGUCGCUCGCUGCUGGCGCAGGCCGUCGCCGUCGCCCGCCGCCGGAGGAAGCUGGAGGGACCCCGCCGCCUGCCGCCCAGCACACCGAGGAGGCCCAAGCCGGCGACCGCCUGCCGCACCCGCAGGCCGUAAUCGUCGCUGCCGAUCCAUAAAAAGUGGAGAUGGAGGGGAAAGUGGGUGAACGGUUUCUACGAGGGAGAGGGAGGGAGUAAAUAUAGUUAGCAGAUAGAGUUGAUAGGAAAAAAUUUAGGCUGGGUUCGUUUGGACGUUUUCCCAGCGCGCGCUACAGUGUUUUGCCCCCGCGCACGCUUU